rnacentral:snRNA from 14 species
UUUCUUUCUUUCUGGUAUACCAUGCUCACGUAUGUGGUCUACCCAGGGUGAGGCUUGACCCAUUGAACUCUGGGCUUGCUGACCUCUGCGAUUUUCUGAAAUACGGGAAACUCAACUGCAUAAUUUGUGGUAGUGGGGGACUACAUACGCGCGCUCUUUCU